rnacentral:rRNA from 1 species
UGGGGAAUAUUGCACAAUGGGCGCAAGCCUGAUGCAGCCAUGCCGCGUGUAUGAAGAAGGCCUUCGGGUUGUAAAGUACUUUCAGCGGGGAGGAAGGGAGUAAAGUUAAUACCUUUGCUCAUUGACGUUACCCGCAGAAGAAGCACCGGCUAACUCCGUGCCAGCAGCCGCGGUAAUACGGGGGGCGCAAGCGUUAAUCGGAAUUACUGGGCGUAAAGCGCACGCAGGCGGUUUGUGAAGUCAGAUGUGAAAUCCCCGGGCUCAACCUGGGAACUGCAUCUGAUACUGGCAAGCUUGAGUCUCGUAGAGGGGGGUAGAAAUCCAGGUGUAGCGGUGAAAUGCGUAGAGAUCUGGAGGAAUACCGGUGGCGAAGGCGGCCCCCUGGACGAAGACUGACGCUCAGGUGCGAAAGCGUGGGGAGCAAACAGG